AGUUACGACAUGAAGCAAAACUUGGUCAACGAAGUUCUUGGGAAGGCAAGACUCUGAAGUCCAACAUGGGCACGGGAACAUUGAGCCCCACUGCCGGAGCAGUUUUAACUACCGCAUCUGCGUCUGUGUGUGCGCACGCUCCUACACACAGCUGUUCUCUGUAUCUGCAAAGCAGGCGUAUUUACACAAAGCCCAGCAAGUAGAAGACGCUGGAUAAAGUGCGUAAUGGAAGGAGUGAGGAAAAGAAUGCGUCUUACCCCGCCUUCUCCAAAGCGUUUGGCAAUCACUAAGGAAUUGGAAGGGUGUCAUGGACAGGAGGACGGAGGAGUUAAAGGCAACAGUAUUCUUUAAGA